rnacentral:rRNA from 1 species
CCUACGGGAGGCUGCAGUGGGGGAUAUUGCACAAUGGGGGAAACCCUGAUGCAGCGACGCCGCGUGAGUGAAGAAGUAUUUCGGUAUGUAAAGCCCUAUCAGCAGGGGAGAAAAUGACAGUACCUGACCAAGAAGCCCCGGCUAACUACGUGCCAGCAGCCGCGGUCAUCCGUCGGGGGCACGCGUUAUCCGGAUUUACUGGGUGUAAAGGGAGCGUAGACGGGUAUGUAAGUCUGGAGUGAAAGCCCGGGGCCCAACCCCGGGACUGCUUUGGAAACUGUGUAACUGGAGUACAGGAGGGGCAGGCGGAAUGCGUGGUGUAGCGGUGAAAUGCGUAGAUAUCAGGAAGAACACCGGCGGCGAAGGCGGCAUGCUGGACUGAAACUGACGUUGAGGCACGAAAGCGUGGGGAGCGAACAGGAUUAGAUACCCGUGUAGUC